rnacentral:rRNA from 1 species
CCUACGCGAGGCAGCAGUGGGGAAUAUUGGGCAAUGGGCGCAAGCCUGACCCAGCAACGCCGCGUGAAGGAAGAAGGCUUUCGGGUUGUAAACUUCUUUUCUCAGGGACGAAGAAAGUGACGGUACCUGAUGAAUAAGCCACGUCUAACUACUGGCCAGCAGCCGCUGUAAUACGUAGGUGGCAAGCGUUAUCCGUAUUUAUUGGGUGUAAAGGUCGUGUAGGCGGGAGCGCAAGUCAGAUGUGAAAACUCAGGGCUCAACCCUGGGCCUGCAUUUGAAACUGUGUUUCUUGAGUGCUGGAGAGGCAAUCGGAAGUCGGGGUGUAGCGGUGAAAUGCGUAGAUAUACGGAGGAACACCAGUGGCGAAGGCGGAUUGCUGGACAGUAACUGACGCUGAGGCGCGAAAGCGUGGGGAGCAAACAGGAUUAGAUACCCCUGUAGUC